UGAGCAUUACUGCAGUUGUAGCAGGAGCUGGAUUAGUCCUUACCUACUUGCAGUCCUCAUCUGUGUUUAGAUGAGACAGUGAUUAAAAUUUUCUCAGACAUGUCUGUACAGGAGGACAGCUGAAAAUUUAAGACCAAUUUCCUAAAAUUCAUUGACAGCUAGGAGAAGUGGCUGGCAUACCAGAAGGCUGUGCUGCAUUUCAGCAAGACCUGGACAGGCUGGAGAAUUAGGUGGAGAGGAAUGUGAUGAGAUUCAACAAGGGCAAGUGUAGUGUCCUUCACCUGGGAACAAAUAACUGCACACAUCAGCACAGGUCAGGGGCUGACCUGGUGGAAAGGAGCUCUGCAGAGAAGGACCUGGGUGUGUUGGUGGACAACAGGAUGACCAUGAGCUAGCAGUGGCCAAGAUGUCAUGUUUUCUUACCUGGAAGACCGAACCACUGAAGUUGCUGGUCUUCCCCCUCCACCAGCUGCACUUUAUUUCUUGGGACUGCUGCGUAACAGAAAUGCUUUUGUGCUGCGAGAGAACACGAUGUACAAACUGAAGAAACCUGGUCAUCAGCUGGCAAUUUCAGCUGAAAGGAACAUCUGAUUCCUAAAGUUACAGAACUUGUCUGAAAGAUUUGUUUGAAAAAGAGAAUUAACUGCUCAAUGUCCCAGAUAUCCUCAACAGUGGAAUGUCUGGAUGCUUUCACCGAGAAGAUUCAUCCAUGGAGUCUUUUCAUUUCCAGGGGGAAAAAAAAAAAGAAACAACAACAACAAAAAACAUUUAAACUGAAGAUAUUGCAGAGAGUCAUUCCCAAGGAGAUUAAUUAUAUUGUGACCUUCUCAUAAAAUCAGCCCUUGUUUUUACUUCAUGAUUCUCAUCUGGCCAACCAGGUAGAAUUGACACUUGGCAAUCUUCUGUUUGAGAAGAUUUUACAAGGUAUGUCUGAUCCUGCUUAAGUCAGUGACGCUUCUGUAAGCCAAGACUGCAGCAUGUGAAGUGAAAUUGAUGAUAAGAAGGAUGUUUGCUACUUUUUCUGAUCCUGACUCUAGUUCCUGAAUUUCUCAUGGAUUCUAAGAACCAGAAGUCAGUGGAUACAAAAAGAAAUAAACUGAAUGAUAAUAACUAGUGGGGGGGGGAAAAAAAAGGAAAAGAUUCUUCAUUUGUCACAGCAAUAUACUCAACUAUGAGCUAUCAUAUUUCUUAUGUUUAGAAGUCAUGAGAUAAAAGGAAAAUACAUUUAGGAAUAGUAUUUUACUGAACCCAUAAUUUAUUAUUAUUUAUGCAGACUUUGUAAAAAAGAGCUGUAUAACAGUGAUAGCAUAUACUUAAAAAUCAUAGUGAAAGGAUUUAUCAGUGGAAGUGAUUCUGUAAUACUUUGGUGAUAGGAAGGCAGCUAUUAUCUAAAGAAACUUAGCAUAAGUAACAUGAAAAACAGUAUUAUGGGGAAUAUUCAACUGAACUAACUGAUACUCAGGAAUAUCAGGCUGGGAAAUUCACAGUAUAUGAAUUUCAAUUAGCAAGUACAUUAUUUGUGCCCUUUUAAAAUGAGACUGAAUCAGUCUGAGGAGGGAGCAAGUCUACAGACAGAUCUGCUACAAGAAAGACUAUUCAAGUAUAGUUUUACUGAACAUGAGAUAAUUUUGCCAAAUCACUUUCAGACUCUGAGAUAUCUUCUAUUUCUUCUCAGCCCAAUUCCUAUUUCUAACACUAACGUACAGCCAGAACACACAUGAAAUUGAAAUUACUGUUUUGACCUGUUGUUGUGCUCUGGUUUAGGAUCAUAUUAGCUGUGCUACAAAGUCUAGCUAUUCCAGAUUAUAGCAGUGUCACUCACGUUGACUUCAAUUUUAAGAAAAUUUCAGAAUAUCCUAAUUACCUAAAGAGCCAGUGGAACGUACCACUGUGUUGUGAUGACAGGUUGCAUGUGUGUCAUUGGGUCUUCUUAAAAAGAAAGUUUGUUUUGUUUCUUUCAUGUUCUGAAGCCUUGAUGCCUUCUAGGAAGGAGAGCAGUGGGUGGGAAGACACAGGGGUAGAUAUUUUUCCUGUCAGUUCAUAGGCAUGUGUCAGAAGCUGAGUAAUGGGAUGAGUCAGUAUGGAACUGUCAUCAGAUAAAUAUAGUUACGGGACACAGUGGGGUCUGGUAGAUACGAAAUCUUGCUUCCAGCCCUUUUAUUUUCCCUCUAGCUCUUUCGUACCUGGAUCACUGAGAACUUAGCAACUUCACCUCAGGUACAUGACUGAGUCAUGGCUGCAGCAAAGGGUCAGACAGCCCAGAACAGUUAAUCGGUUCUUAUAGAUGCCUGAAGUGUAAAGCAAUAAGCUCCCAGGCUCACAGCCCAACCCUCAGCCUUCUAGGUAGCCAUUUAAACAUGGCUACCAAGUGGUGGUCAGAGAAACAGUAAUCAUGGCUGGGUUGCUGCCUGUAAGGUGCUACAAGGUUGAAGCUAGAUGGAGGCUAGAAGCAGCAAUAGGGCUGAGCACAGAGCCCUCUGAGACUGGACUACUGCAAAAUUGUUCAUUUCUGAAAUUAGCAAAUGGAUUCCUGAAGACAUUAUCCUGAAGAAAUGGAAAAGUCAUACACAGUUUACCAGUGGGCUGCCUAAAUAUUAAUAUGUAGAGCCAUCCUGUACAACAUAGGUGUUCCUUCUUGCCUCUGUCUGCCUCCACAGAAGGAAAAG
ensembl:lncRNA